UACCCAGGCUGGAGUGCAAUGGCGCAAUCUCGGCUCACCGCAACCUCCGCCUCCUGGGUUCAGGCAAUUCUCCUGCCUCAGCCUCCCGAGUAGCUGGGACUACAGGCACGCGCCACCAUGCCCAGCUAAUUUUUUGUAUCUUUAGUAGAGACGGGGUUUCACCAUGUUGACCAGGAUGGUCUCGAUCUCUUGACCUCGUGAUCCACCCACCAUGGCCUCCCAAUUUCACAAUUUUUAUGGAAACUAUGGACACAUUCAACCAUGUGUAAUAUAAUUACUUCAUAAGAGCUUUCCUUCAUAAAACUCUCAUCAAACCAAAGAGCUGCUAGGAUGUUUGGGCCACCUGUAACUUCUUAAGUGGCCUCAAGAUGUGCUGAUGUUGCAUGCAAUAGAGAAGAAGUCAACCAUGCUCAUUGGUUCUACAGAGAAAUGAGCCAUAAGUGACUUCGGAAUUAUAUUUUCCUACUUCACAGAAAAUCUGACUUCAGAAUCUUUAAAGAUCAUCACAUGGUUAGUCGUGUCCUCUUUUCCUUCUACCCAAAACCUCCAUGUCCUGGAGAGGGAUUGCUCCUUUAACGCAGCCAAAGUAGCCUGGAAUAGAGAUGUAACAUGAGUGACGGAGAAAUCUUUAUUGUUAUUUGUAUGUUGAAAUCUUCACUUCCAAGGUGAUAGUAUCACGAGAUGGGACUUCAGGGAGGUGAUUAGGUCAUAAAAGGAAUUAGUGGCUUUAUCAAAGAGGCAGGGGAGAUGCUCCUUGCUUAUUCCCUUGUGUGAAGAUACAGUAAAAAGACGCUGCCUACAAGCAAGAAAUCUGGCCCUGGCCAGACAAUGAAUGGUGCCUUGAUCUUGGACUUCCCAGCUUCCAGAACUGUGGGA